ensembl:lncRNA
UCUGAUUUUUUUCCACCACAAUGAACCUUUAGGGGCUCCGUAACAAUUUGAUUGAUGUCUUUUGGACCAAUAGUUUUUGAGAAAAGUGGGGGAAAGUACCGUCUCCGCAGGUGUACAGAAGAUGAAAAGCGUUAACGCUGUUUCGUACAGGCUAAUGAUGUUCCGUACAGAGCGCAUACUUUGAUUUCACGACGAAAAUGGACAUUUAACGGAUCGACUUUGAGCUAUUUAUUUAUUUUAACUGAAGAAAACAUCAUUUCAAUGAAUAAGAAAGGUAAGUACUUUUUUAUUUGUUUAAAAUUUAAGUUUUUUGCUGAUGUAAUAAGCUAGAGGACUAUGCGAGCUAGGCCUGAUUGUGUCGUGAUAUUGAUUAUGGCAUGUGGGUUAAGCAUGAACCAUUCUGAAGACAAAGAAGGGCAAACAGUUUGAACUGAUUCAAAAUAUUUAAUGAUUAACCAAUGUGAAAACUUCAAAACAUAAAUGAUCAGGAUACGUGCGUUCACAACUAUUUGCAUUUAACACUAAACUGAUUAAAAAAAUACCGUAACUAGAAAUUAACAGUUGGCACUUCCUUCACUUCUGCGCACUCCAGGUGGAACCACAAAUGGCACACAAAUGGAACCACAAUGGCCUCAUCUACGGAGCCAGGUGGGACCACUCUACGGCAGAGAGCGCAGUGUUCUCCAUUUUCAGUAGGAGGAGGUCAAAGUAUUCGUCGCUGGUGAUGACACGGGCUGGCAACGGAAUGCGAAGACUCAACUUUUUCUUCCUCUCCAGGGCUGGACUCAUGAGGACGUUAGCCAGACUCUCUGGUAUUACACCUGCUGCCACCAGGUAAUUUUUGUGAGCCACUUUAUUAAUGUUACAGGUGGGGCAAGGUGACUGAUGUGUCAGUAGGUGACUUGAUGGAUGGUGUGGUGGGAGCGAUAGAUAGUGUGGCUGACGGAGUGGUGGCAGGGCUGGAUGGUGUGGUGUCACUUUCAUCUACAAAUGGGAGCACUCUCACCACCUAAGAAAAUAAAACGUAUGUAAAACUCA